CUGUCUUCAGACACACCAGAAGAGGGCAUCGGAUCCCAUUGCAGAUGGUUGUGAGCCACCAUGUGGUUGCUGGGAAUUGAACUCAGGACCUCUGGGAGAGCAGUCAGUGCUCUUAACCGCUGAGCCAUCUCUCCAGCCCUCUGGUAGAUAUCUUAAUCUCAGUCAGCAAAGCCUCAAGAGAAACCACCGCCGAGAGAACAUGGAGGCGGAUGUUAAGAUUCCUCUCUGUAGGGCUGGAGAGAUGGUUAAGAGCAAAUGUCCUGAGUUCAAUACCCAGCAACCACGUGGUGGCUCACAACCAUCUGUAAUGGGAUCUGAUGCCCUCUUCUGGUGUGUCUGAAGACAGCUACAGUGUACUCAUAUAAAUAAAAUAAAUAAAAUUAAAAAAAUAAAAGAUUCCUCUCUGUACCUUUACAGGUUGUUAUGAAUGCUCUUAAGGGAUGGAUGUGUACAGAGCUUUGUAUGUUUAGGUGGGUAAUUAUAUCUUAUCAAUUGGAUCAGAGGUUGUGUUGUGUGUUCUUUCUUGUGGCGAAUUAAGUUUAAGAGAGUGUGUGGUGACUGGGACACUGGGCCACCACUGAGUUGGGAUGUGUGUUUCUAACACGAUGGCAGCCUGCCUUGGGAACUAGGUGGGUAGAGAGAUUGUUGCCAGGCUCAGAGAGAGGCCAUCGGCGGUGUGAUAUGGGAUGGAGCAAAGCGGGUGAGAGGCUUUGCUGACUGAGAUGAAGGUAUCUACCAGAUAUCUUGGGGCACUAUGGUGCCAGACCUAGUCGGGGUAAAAGAUGGCCACUUAUUUUUUACAGCAUCAUUCCUAUCGCUCCACUGGGUCCCUGCCUGGCUACAGGAGGUGGUCUCUUCAAGGUUCCAUAUCUCCAGUGUUGUGAGUCACAGCUAAAGUUACCCCCAUUGAUUCCUGGGAGCUUCCCACAUCCUGGAUCUCUAGCAUUCCCUCCACCAGCUGCAGAUGUCCAUUCAUUUUCCUGGUCCUCUGGCCAUCUCUCCUGUCUCUCCCCGUACCUGAUCCUGAACACACCCCUCCCCAUCCCUUCUCCCACCCAUCCGCCUUCUUUAGUCGUAUUUUAUUCCCCCUUCUAAGUGAGAUUCAAGUGUCCUUGCUUGGGCCUUCCUUCUUGUUUAGGGUCUGUGGAAUGUAGCAUGGCUACAUUAUGGCUACUUUAUGGCUAAUAUCCAUUUAUAAGCGAGCACAUACCUUGCAUGCGGACAGAUCAUGAAACAUCUAUGCAAUGGAGAGAAAAUCUUUAUCUAGACAGACAACAGCCUCGUGGCUUUCCAGCAACACACUGCCGUACACCUUGAAUAGCCCCCAUACUUCCCGGGAAAAGUGCACAGCCACAUCUCCACAUUUUAACAAGCUCUGAAGAAGUGAGCAGAUUUUGACUCAGAACUUGUGUCUACGGAAGCAGCUCAACCACUUGGCUACCAACUGUGCAGUCAGACAGGCAUGGAAGGCUUGCAGCUGCGGUCACCUACUGCCUAAGACCGUUGUGGUCCACAACAGCCCAUAAGUCAGUGGUCCCCUAAGGUCAGAGAGGAGCUACAAACCUUCCUGCUCAGUGGCUUAGCAGGACAGUGCAUUCUCAUAUUUUAUUCAAAGGCCUUUGGUAUCAGUGCUAUAAAAAGCACAGCACAGUUACACACGGCAUGUUGUCUUUAAAUGAUUGUUACUGGUUUACACACUUAGUACAUUACACCAAUACUAAUUACACUACACUAAUUAUACUACACUAAUUUAAUCACCUUGAAGUCCUCCCAAGAAAGUGACUUCUACCAACUAAAGCUUAUAUGAGCACAAUCUUAGCUCCAGAAAAUGACUCACAGACACUUUUCACCAUAAGCAUAACCUGUGUUCGUAUUAUGAGAGAAAAAAUCAACCGUAAUUUUCUCAGAAAAUAUCCCCCGAGGGAUGAGAGUGUCUUAAGAAGCGACAAGGUAGAAAGGAGUAAGGAAGUAGGCCAGGAGGUAUGCGGCUCUCAGGUUACAAUGACUGGGUCUAAUAUAGUUCUGAGCCCGUCCCAGGCCACCGGAGUCAUGGGUGGCAGAGGAAGGCGGCCAAUGCAUGGAGAGAGCAGAGCUCACCUAGGCCUCAGGCUACGUGAGCUCAGCGGCCACUGCCCGGGAUUUGCUGCUUGUCUGCUCAGAAAAGGCUAGACUGUGGGUCAGGCAUAGCUGUGGGUAGGGAAUAACCACAGGAAACAUCUCAUUUCUAUCAGCAUCCCGAGCUCAUUUAUAAAACACAGGUAGGUCUUGUUUUUUUUGGUAGAGAUUUGACACUCUUCCAAGUAUCAGGUUGUUCCAGUAAUAAUCUUCUUGUAAUUAGGAGCUGUCUACCACGUCUUGGAACCAGUUCCCUAUGUGGUUUCUUAGGAGUUAGUGUGUGCGUGUGUUUGGCUUUUGAUUUUCUUCUUGUGUUUAUUUUUAAUGUAGGCAAAAAUAAAGGAGACAACAAAUUCAAGUACUUGAGGACCCUAGUGCAAUAGAAAAUGAGCUCUUUUUUUUUUUUUCCUGGUAGGAAAUAAAAUCUUCCACCCACCGCCCUGCCCCCACUAAAUAAUUGCCCUCACUAAUACCCCAUUGUUUUGUGCAUUAAACCCCUAGAGUGUUUCAUCCCUCUAGUGGCCAAUUCAGGUCCCAUAGGGUAUUUUGUGAGAAGGAGGUGGCUACAACCAUUGUUUCAUUUCUUCCCGUCUUCUCAACUGUUCUAAGAAACAGAACUCACGCUGUUGUUUCCGGGGUUCUGUGGUGUAGACGUAUCUCUAGCCUAGGCCAAGUCACCCACAGCUGGUACAGAAUCUGAGAAAACAGAACCGUUAUCAAAGGUGCUUUUACAGCUCCACGGAGCUGGGUAUCAAAACAUGCCCAUGAUAUUUUGGUUCGACAAAUUACCUGGGAAGGACCCAGCUUUGAUUCCCACCACCUACGUGGAGGCUCUCCACCUCCUCAAGCACCAGCAUGUGUCUGGCGCACAGACACACACGAAGGCAAAACACUUGUACACAUAAGAUAAUAGAUAAGGUAUCUAGAGAACAAAUCCGUUCCUCAGCUCACCUUCACCUCUCUGUGUACCACCGAUUUCAGGCCACUGGCAAGGUCGGGCAGUCAUUCUUCUUGCCCUGCUGUGUCUGCCAGACUCUCCUUACAUUCCUUUGUCAGUGGCUUCAUUGUGGCACGGCGUACUCUGAUCGCAGCCAAUACCCUCUUCUGGUUUCAUGUGUUCCUUUUUUAAAUGGCCGAUGAGUUUCCUCAGGGUUCCUGGUACGUGGGCACCAUAUCAGUGCCUAUACUACUGAAGAAAAUAUCUCCCUUGCUCAUCAAACAUUAACUGAAGUAGUCUAGUGUGCUGACACACACCUUUAACCCCAGGACUCUUGGAGUCAGGCAGAUCUUUUAGUAGGGCGCCAUCUUGUCUACAUAUGACAGACCAAGUUCUAGGCCAGCCAGGGAGAAAUAAUGAAAGUGUGACUCAAAAAAGAAAGUUUACUGCGAUAAAUCCCGAGGGAAGGCUACUAUGAGGCCCUUCUCUCUAAAACCUAAGGAACUGAAUAAAAUCUCUCCUAUUGGCCAGUUUCUCUGGUGUAGGGGAAAGUAUUCAGAGAAUGCAGAUAAAAUAGAGUAAAAGCAAAGUGUGGCAGAUCCACCUGCCGAUCACGUUGACACGCCCUUUAUUCUUUACAGUAGUCCUGAGGCCAGCAGGUGUCUGUUGCCUGCCUGUAAAGAUACCUCAGCUCUGUACUAGCCAGCAAAGCAGGGGACUAAGCACUAGGAAGAGUGGUGCUUGUCCGUACUACAAAGAAACCAUGAGUGGUACUUUUCCUCACAGCCACUACUGGGGCUUCUUUCUAUAGGCAUUAGUCUCCUCCCUCUAACUGUCUCUCUGCGGUGCUCACCUCGCUGUAUGGUUUCUGCUUUUCUUCCCUUUCCUGCUCUGCUCUCAUCUUUAAGUCUCUGCGCUGCACUCUAUGUCAACUUGACACACACUAACAUCGGUUUGGACAAGAGACUCUCAAUUGGUAAAAUGCCCUCAGCAGACUGGCCUUUGGGCAAACCUCUGGUGUGCAUUUUCUUGAUUGACAACUGAUGUGGGAGGGCCCCUCUCACUGUGGGUGGUAUCAUUCUUGGGCUUGUGGCCAUGGAUGUAUAAGAAAGCAGACUGAGCAAGCCAUGGAAAGCAAUCGAGUAAGCAGCACCCCUCCAUGGCCUCCAGGUCCUGCCCAGACUUCCCUUAGUGAUGGACUAUGAUGUGGGAGUGUAAGCAAAAUAAACCCUUUCCUCUCCAAUUUUCAUAUGCACAGUGUUUCUUCUGAGCAAUAGAAACUCCAACAAAGACAGUCUUCUAAUUUGCAUAUUCUCCCUUCCCUUCACUGCCCUUUGUAUGGUGGCGCAGUCCUAUAAUUCCAGCUACUUGAAAGGCUUAGCAGGAGGAUCAUACAUUCACGGAAUGUGCCGGCUGUACAGUAAGACUCUGUAUCAAAACUGAGGCUCCAAGUUGGGAGUGGUGGCGCACAGGAGUGGUGGCGCACACCUUUAAUCCUAGCACUUGGCGGGCAGUGGCAGGUAGGUCUCUGAGCGUCUGAGGCCAGCCCAGUCUACAGAGUGAGUUCCUGGACAGCCAGGGCUGCACAGAGAAACCUUGUCUUGGGGAAACAAACCAACUCUGAGGGCUCCAAUAUACAGUUCCAACUCUGUGUCCACACACAGGCCUGAUCAAACUCAGCAGGUUUUAAAACAAAAAGAUGUGACUGAGGGAAAGGGAGAUUUAGGGACAGAGGGAGAGCUGAUGGAAGUAAGGGAAUCGGGGAUGAUCAGAAUGUAUCACACAUGUACACAGCACACACAUGCACACAACACACAUGUACACAUGCACGCAUAUUUCAUAUGUGAAAUUGUCAAAGAAAAAUUUAAUUAAUAAAAAAUAAAUAAAAACUAAAAAAUAGGGUAGGUGGCUUGUUGUGCAAGUCUAGGAUCCUGAGUUCCUUCCCCAGCACACACAUAACAGUCAGCACGGCACUUUGUCUCAGAAACAGAAGACAGAAAGCAGUAGUCGAAGAUACCUGAAGUUGACCUCUGGUCAACAUGAAUGGCUGAGUGCUUGAGCACUCUAUAUCCUGUGACACACACAUCCACAUGCACAUGAACACACACACACACACACAAGAACACACACACACAUGCACCCACAAUACACACAUGUACAUGAACACACACACAUGCACACAACACACAUAUGCAUACAACACACACGAACACAUGCACACAAGACAUACACACAACACACAAAACACACAUGUACACAUGCACACAAUAUGCACAUGUACACGAACACACACAUGCACACAACACACACAUGUAUGAAACACACACAUGGUAGCUCACGACCAUCUACGAAUCCGAUUCUGGUGGAUCUGAAGCCUUCUUCCAACCUUCACUGGCACCAGACACACAAAUGAUAUAAAUACAUGUGUGUAGGCAGAUCUUUACAAAUAAAUUAAAACAUUACCAGCUUUUGGUUUCUCUUUUGUCUUUGGGUGGUUUGCAUGCACGUAUGUCUCUCUACUACUUGCGUGCCUGGUGCCUACAGAGCGUGUCGGACCCCCCUGGAACCAGAGUUAUAGAUUGAAGUGGGAACUUAAGGGUUUUUUUGGAAAGUCGUUCAGAUGGUGUUUUGCUGGAGUGAACACGUGAAAGAACAUUUCAUUAAAGUGGACACAGGUGUGAAAGGCUAAGGCCGACUUGUGAAGGAAUGUUUGGCUGAAGCAGACCGAUGAAAGGACAUUCUGCUAAGGCAAACACAAGAAUGGACACGUGAUAAAGGAUUCUGGACACGUGAUGAGGGAUUCUGGACACGUGAUGAAGGAUUCUUUGCUAACAGCACGCAUGCGUCGGUCCACCUCACAUUGCGUAGUUGGGACUCCACGGAGAGAAAUGAACCAGUAAACCUCUGAUGGUCUGCUACAGUUUCUUGCUGCUUCUGUGGACUUGGGCUGAUUGGCGGAGUAACGUCAGCUGAGACAGACUCACGUGCUGAGGCAGGACCCAUGGAGGACCUGCCAUGUUUAGAGGGUACAGACAGUACUCAGCAGUGACGGAGGCUGAGCUUGGCUUGCUUACAGAGCCAACCAUGCAACACUUGUGGGUCUCGCCUCUUUGCUGAUCUUCACUUCCCUAAGAGAGGCACAGCCGAGAACUUCUGGCCUUCUUCUUGGUCCCUCCGGCUGACUAGAGCUGAGGCACCCCCGGCUGUCUCUGCUAGGUAGUGUUACUGUUGCUGAUUCCUGUUUGCUACCCGACUCUACUGAACUAGAUGCUGGCGUGGUGUAUCGGUGAAGUGUUUGCCAGUGGAUCGAGCUGCUGCUACUAACCUGGGAACUGAACAGCUGAUUUCCAGACAGCACAGAACACCUGGAGUGGAUUACAGUUCUUCUCAUGCAGUUGUGUGUCUGGAAUGGAAACCCUGACAUCUAAGGCAGGACAUUUCAGAAGAACUGGGAUGGCUCUUGGCAUCAUUGGGAGAACCUGAAAGGGAAUACUAAGGGGACAGAGCUACAGAAUUUCCCAUCUGAGGAACUUGUACUUGUGGGGAAGUUGAUCAGAAACACCAGAGUCUGAAUUCUUCAGGCAGCUGAAUCUUGGUUCAAAGUAAGUUAAAAAGAAUUACAUAGAAGAGAAAUUCAACUCUGAAAUUCAAAACAUAUGUCAUUGAAUACCCUGAUGUAAACUUAGGAAAACAAAUGAAAGGACAGACUUUUUUCUAGUUAUUUGUUGACAUUCAGUCAUUCAGUCAUUCAUUUAUUUCUGGGGAGCUUCAGGCAGCUGAGGAGAUUUGUACACUGUCUUGGGUGAACAGACUACAACCAGGAACCAAGAAGCAUGUGGGGAACAUGUUGCAGGUUCAGCUUCAGAACACAUUGAGUCAUUUCAACAAAAACUGUGAUAAUUAAAGAGGAAAAAUUACAUUUAGCCCAGAUAUAAAAUGGGGAUAAGACUGAGCUCUUUUGGAAGUCAAUGCCAGAGAACACUCAGGUAAGAUAUCUGCCUACCAGGGAGGAAAAUAAACAAAGGGUGGCUGUCUGCUCCUAUGUGUGCAAAUACAGGUGUGACUCAUAAAUCAACAUCAGUUGUCACUGUAAAAGGAAAGGUGCCCAAAAGUGUGAAAGAAGACACAAGUACAUCAUCCGUGAUAUAUAAACCUGGUAAAGACGUUUGGUUCACAAGAGAAUUGUUUAGAAUGGUUCUUUCAAAAUUUUGCUCAGCAUUUCCAACUUAAUGAUCUAGGAUUUCAUGAGGAAGAUAGGGCAUUGGUACUUCUGGACAACUCUCCAGUUCACCCUUCUGCGGAACCAUCAGCCAGUGAGGAUGGUAGAAUAAGAUACACGUUCUCUCCCCCUAAUACUUCUACUUUGAGUCAACCAGUGAAUCAAGCUGUAACCUUGAGCUGCAAAGAACUUUAGAGAUGGAAACAACUUGAAGAGAGUCUUAGAAACUUUGGAGAAAGUGAGGAUGAACAGGAAAAAGAAAGAGAAGGGAAUUUCCAAGAUUAAGAUGUAGAAUGUGAAAAGUGCACUUUUUAACUGGGAUGAAGUAAAACAAUUAACAGUAGCAGACGCAUGGGAAAUCUCCUUUACAAAGAAGAAACUGUGUGACCUUCAAGGGCAAGAGCGUGGGAGCUAGAGGGAUCCUUGAGAAAGGUGCAGAAACCAAGCUGGGCAUGGAGGAUAUGGUUAAAUGAAGAUGAUGAAGAGAAAGGUUGUUUCUCCCCGCCUCUCUCCACCCUUCACCCCUGAAAACCCAAAAGGUGAGACAGUAAAGGAAGCUGUGCAAAGGACGGAGCUGGAAAUUGGACAGGAAUUUAAGUUCCACACUGGACUACAUUCUUAACUUUCCUGAUGCCAUACCUGAAUUUUAAAUACUUCAUUUCACACUAAGAGAUGCAACAAAAAUAUAGCCAAGAAAGAACUGGAGAGUAAAAUCCUUUUAAGAAUUGGUAGGUUUUUGAAAACUAGACUUCCUAAUAUUAAGGAUACUGUCAAUAUGCCUUCAACUUCUGGUUCUAGUAAUCAGACUAUGUAAAGGUAAUUGGAAUAUAUGAUACUGUUGAUACCGUUUUUAAUCAAACAUUAUUUUCAUAUCAAUGCUCACUUAUGCAUUGGCUAGAAUAUAGUUUGAAAAUAAAUGUGAAUUCCCAUAAAUGUAUGAAUAUCAUUUUCUAUUUACAAAUCAAGGAUAUGAAUAAUGAAUUAUCAUCCUAAAUUAUAUAAAUUGUAAUGGCUAUGCUAAAAACAUAGGUUUAAAUUCUACCAUGUAAUUUUGGCUAAUACACAUUAGUACUAUGCACCAAGCAAGACCUUUGUUUCAUUCUCCAGAAUUAAAAAAUAGUAACGUACGUCACAUAAAGGAGGAAGGGGCUCCUCCUAAGCCCCUAGAAGGAACUCAUAAUGAGCUAAGCUGGCCACGAACAGAUUUAUGACUGCCUACAUGGUCUUAUUACCCAUAGGGAAGUACAACCAAAGAGAAUUAAAAUAUUACAAGACGGGAGCUAGACAGUUGGCUCAGUGGUUAAGAACACUGGCUGGGGCUGGAGAGAUGGCUCAGCGGUUAAGAGCACUGACUGCUUUUCCAGAGGUCCUGAGUUCAAUUCCCAGCAACCACAUGGUGGUUCACAACCAUCUGUAAUGAGGUCUGAUGCCCUCUUCUGGUGCGUCUGAAGAUAGCGUACAGUGUACUCAUAUACAUAUAAUAAAUAAAUAUUAAAGAACAUUGGCUGUUCUCCAGGUGAUCCACGUUCAAUUUCUAGUCCCUAUAUGGUAGUCCGUUCUAGCCCAGGGGAUCUCAGCUCCCCCUGCACCAUGCCUGCCUGAAUGCUGCCAUGUUUCUGCCUUGAUGACAAUGGACUGAACCUCUGAACCUGUAAGCCAGCCAAGAAUUAAAUGUUGUCUUUAUAAGAGUUGCCUUGGUUAUGGUGUCUCUUCACAGCAGUAAAACCCUAAGACAGAAGUUGCUACCAGGGACUGGGGUGUUGCUGCGAUAGACCUGACCAUGCUUUUGUUUGGAAGAAUGUUGAUUUGGGGGGGACUUUGGAUUUAGAAAGCCAUAGAAUGUUUUAAGUGGAGCUUAAUGAGCCAUCCUAGUAGGAAUAUGGAAGGCUUUGUUGUUGUGAGUUAUUUCAAUUGUGCAGACCUGGCCCAAGAGGUUUCAGUGGAGAACAACUUCAGUAUGUGGCCUAGAGACUAUUUUUGUAGUAUUUUAGUGACGAACAUGGCUACUUUUGGCCCUAGUCUGAGGAGUCUGCCUGAGGCUAAGGAGAAGAGACUCAGAUAAAUUGCACUGACAAAGGAAGUCUCAAAAAAGCCCAGCAGAGACUUUGUUCUCUGGUUACGUCUGAUAAAGAGCAUUUUGAACAAGCAUAGCAAGCUUAGAAAGGAAAAAUAUAUAAGGUAGAGUUUGAGUAUUAAAGGGGCACCAGGAAGUGAAAUAGAACUGAAUCCUGUGUUCAAGGGUAUUAAAUUGAAUUAACGGAGUGGUGACCUUGGGGCAAGAUCCUACCCAGCUAAAUUUAGAUCCAGGCUUGGUGCUACAUACUUUUAAUCCCAGGAGAUAAAGCCAAGCAGAUCUCUAAGUUCAAGGCCCAUCUGAGACAGACGGAGUUAUAGGUGAAGAAAAGCUUAAAUUCAGGCACAGUGGUACACACUUUGAUCCCAGUAGCCAAGCAUGCAGAUCUCUGAGUUCACGGUCAGUCUACAGAGCAAGAUCCAGGACAGCCAAGCUUAGGCAGUGAAGGAGUUGGAAAAGAGGAAGCUAGUGACUGAACAAGGGGGCCAUGUUCCAGCUCCAGCAAGCAGCAGAACACAGCAGUUUCAGCCAUGUGGCUCUGGCUUUAGAGCCAAGAAUAGAAGGGACUACAGGGACAGUUAAUGCUGGUUAACUGGAGCUAAGAAAUUAGUGGUGAUUAAGAAGAGAGCAGCAUCACUGUGAUGAAAUUUUCUGGGAAGUUAUUUUCUGAGAACACAAAGAAGCUGUGUUCCAGAGAUAGCCAAGGUUGUACCUCGUGCUGCAGCUGUACUUGGUAAUGUGUAAGAAUCACCCAGGUGGUACUGGGUUUGAAGGCAUGAAGUGGUCAUGAAGAGCAGAAGGCUUGGUACUGAGAGGCCAUGAAAGGCCGUCGGUGAAAGAAAGUGCAGCCUCAGUUGUAGUUGAUGGCCCAGGACUGAAGGGGUCAUGCAAAGGAGUUGAGGCUUGACACCAGGAAGAGAGCCUGAGAGAGGCUUUUGGUGAAGUAAGUCGAGUGUAUUAUAGAUGCCAGUACCGUGGGAUGAUCACCAAGAGCAGCAGUGGUAGUGGACUGGAUCAACCUGAGCUUAGAGGGCAGGGCUGCAGAGGUGACUCAGCUCUUUGGAGCCCUUUGGAGCCGCCCAGACCAUGUAUAGAUCCCCGACACUGAAACAAGAAGCUUUAAUAUUGAAGUUGCCUUGGAGAGCCCAAGAUGCUAAAGAUGCCCAAGUCGUAAGAUACCUGCAGAGGAGAGCUGCUGACAGGGAGUGGAACCAGCCCAGGGCAGAGAAGUUUGUUGCAGUCAACAAAGAUGAGAAAGGAGCUGGAGAUCUGAAGACGGCUGUGACGUCAGACAUGGAGACGCAGGGUUUGGAGUUUGCCCAGCUGGAUUCCUGUCUUGCUUUGGGGAUUGCAGUUAAAUGAUUGGAUGGAUCUCAGAAGAGAUCUUAAACUUUGGACUUUUAACAUUGUUGAGAGUGCUAUAGACUAUGGAAGUUGGACUAAAUGUAUUUUGUAUUAGACUGUGUUUAGGUAUGGCCCCCAUAGAUUCAUGUAUUUGAACAAGUCUAUAGAGGCCAGGGAGUAGAAUAUGAUGGUUUGUAUAUGCUUGGCCCAGGGUGUGACACUAUUAGGAGAUGUGGCCUUGUUGGAAUAGGUGUGUCAUUGUGGGUGUGAGCUUUAAUAAGCCUUGUCCUAGCUGCCUGGAAGCUGGUAUCUGCUAGCAGCCUUCAGAUGAACAAGUAGACCUCUCAGCUCCUCUUGUACCAUGCCUGCCUGGAUGCUGCCAUGCUCCUGCCUUGAUGAUAAUGGACUGAACCUCUGAACCUGUAAGGCAGCCUCAAUUAAAUGCUGUCCUUAUAAAAGUUGCGUUGGUCAUGGUGUCUGUUCACAGCAAAAAAAAAAAAAAAAAAAAAAAAAAAAAAAAAAAAAAAGGGCCCUAACUAAGACAAUGGCUCCUGAGGAAUGGCACUAUAGGUCCUCUGUCCUACACAUAUCCACACAGUUAAGAAAACUCCAGGCUCAGGAGACUGUUCCUAUCUGGCUCUCCUACAUGUAGCACCAACAAACUCACUAACUUAGUUGGGGUGACACGUAUCUACAUCUGCCCAGGAAAAGGUACACAACACAGCAGUACCAGCUAGGCCAUGCAAUAUCUAUCUGCAUGGGUGAUUUUAUAGUGUGUGUGUACACAAUCCAAGUGAUAAGCUGCUUAGUGGCACAGCAAGUGUAGAUCAUCCCACCCACUUCGUGGCACCAGGAGCAUAUUAGUCCUGUCCUACUCAUGGGACCAAGACCCUGUUCCUACACUGCAGAUUCUAUAUCAAUCUGUAGUUAAUCUACAUUAAUCUCACCUUCCUUCCCUGCCCUCAGUCCUCAGACCACCACUUCUUACCUUCGGGAAAAAACUCCCUUAAGAUAAAGGGAAAUAAGACAAUGAUAAUGUUUUAAAAGUUGGCCCAGAAAACCAAGCUUUUGACACACUAAUCCGAAUCAAGAGCUGGGGUAAGAAUGAGGACUGUUUUGACAGACUGCUGCUAAUCCACUGGUCCACCAUCUUUCCCCACAGAAUAGCUAGAUUAGUUAGACAGUUGGAUAGAUUUCUCUGGAGAUGGUGAGAUGGCUUCCUGGCAUCUGACUGACUACUCCUAGAGUGCUGGGUUCUAAGUUUCUCCACUCUGUGGGAGGUGGUGGUGAACUCCUUUAAUCCUAGCACUUGGGAGGCAGAGGCAGGCAGAUCUCCAGGUUUGAGACUAGCCUGGUCUACAAAUGAAUUCCAGGACAGCCAGGGCUACACUGAGAAACCAACUUGAAGAGAUAAAGCAUAUAAAAAAAGAUAAACACUCCUAUUAUUCCUACCCCAAGCCCACCUUCUAUGAUAUAAUGCUUUCCUCCUCCUAAUUUUGUCCCGAUUUUGAUUACCACACCAUCAAUGAUCAAUGGUGUCGUGAAGACCAUUAUUAGAUUCCCUCCUGGGAACAAGUUUUGCAAGACAAAAAUAUUCUGUCUUUAAAAAGCCUGAUCUGGCCAGGCAGUGGUGAUGCACGAAUAUAAUCCCUACAUUCAGGAGGCAAGGCAGGUGGAUCUCUCAGUUCGAGCCAGCCUGGUCUACAGAGUGAGUUCCAGGACAACCAGAGCUACCCAGAGAUACCCCAUCUCCAAAAGAACCCACACAAGAAAAGAGAAGUUUGAACCAUAUGAACACAAAGUCCCUCAAUAAAGAUUCAUACAUAUUCAUGUUUCCUUGGAGAUAUUUAUUAUAAACCCUCCAAACAUUCUCAACGGGGACAUAAUUCCUAAUUUCUCUAGGAUCUGUUUUUUGUAUCUGAUGAAAUCAUGGAACCUUCCACUCAUAAUCAUGUCUAUAGAGCUCUAGGUACCUUUCAACAGGUGGAAGAAAGUCUCAAAUCUCUAGAAAGGUAGACUGUAAUCACAUACCCUUAAUCUGCAAAAUGCUGGGUUCUUCUGUGGAUUCCACAUUAUGACUUCCCAUCUCUCUAGUUCACUUUUUAUGCCAAUGAACACUCCAACCAAACUACUCAGAGGGGUGUUGCAAUGGCAGAAUUGGACUGCCCAGGACUUCCCAGCCAGGGCCUUAAAAUAAAACAAAACAAAAACAAAAAAAAAA